rnacentral:lncRNA from 1 species
AGUAAAGAGAGUAUGUGUGUGUAUAUAUGUUUUUGCAGCUGUGUUUGUUCCCCCAACAUCACUUGACAACCGAUGCUGGUGUGUUUACGUCCCCGUAACUUAGCAGUUCAAUAUGCCAAAGAAAGGCAAAAAAUGGUUAAAGGUAACUUGUAUUAAUCCUGUAAUGCCUGAAUAAAUUAAGUGUUAAGAUAUUUCUUCGUGUUUCUCAAUCCCUGAAAAGUGUAUACAUUUUUGAGGAGGACUCUGUAUAUGUUGUGUGAGUGUAUAUCUGUGUGUUUCUGUUGUCUUGAUAGAUAGAUAGAUAGAUAGAUAAAGAUAGAUAGAUGAUAGAACACCGAAGGCCAAACAUAUACAGACGCACAAACAUAUACAACACACAUACAUAUAUAUAUACAUAUAUACGAUGGGCUUCUUUCAGUUUCUGUCUACCAAAUCCACUUACAAGACUUUCGUCGGCCCGAGGCUAUAGUAGAAGACACUUGCCCAAAGUGCCACGCAGUGGGUCUAUUUCAUUCUGUUUUGAAUAACUGUUUGUCUUGAUUUCAUAUGACAGUUGUAGGCGAGAGUCAAUAUCAUACAAGCAGUAUCCUUGGUUUCCAGUCUUCUGUGAAGAUAUACCUGGCCAUGGAGAAAUAUUGCCUAGCUUGGAAAUACAUAAGGCAAUGGGAAGGGCAUCUAGGCAUAGAAAAUCUGCCCCAGUAAAUUCCAUCUAAUUCAUGUGAAUUGGGAAAUUCAGACAUUAAAGCAAUGGUGAUAAUGAUGAUCACACACACAUAUAUAUAUAACAGGCUCUUUUCAGUUUCUGUCUACCAAAACCACUCACAAGGUUUGGGAGUAGGGUAGAUGGAAUAGUAGAAGACACUUACCUAAGGAGCAAGGAGUCACACAGUGGGACUGAACCCAAGGACAUGUAGUUGGGAAGCGAACUUCUUAACCAUAGGCACAGGAGUGGCUGUGUGGUAAGUAGCUUGCUUAUCAGCCAACUACAUGGUUCCGGGCUCAGUCCCACUGCAUGGCACCUUGGGCAAGUGGCUUCUACUAUAGUCUCAGGCCGACCAAAACCUUGUGAGUGGAUUUGGUUGAUGGAAACUGAAAGAAGCCCAUCGUGUGUGUGUAUAUAUAUAUAUAUAUAUAUAUAUAUGUAUGUAUGUGUGUGUAUAUGUUUGUAUGUCUGUGUUUGUCCCCCUAACAUCACUUGACAGCCGACGCUGGUGUGUUUACGUCCCCGUCACUUAGCAGUUCGGCAAGAGAGACCAAUAGAUAAAGUACUAGGCUUACAAAGAAUAAGUUCUGGGGUCGAUUUGCUCGACUAAAGGUGGUGCUCCAGCAUGGCCACAGUCAAAAAUGACUGAAACAAAUAAAAGGGAAAAAAAACGUAAAUUUAACUUCUUCUUUUCUUUCUACUUUCAGAUUCUGUACAGCUCUGUAAAGAUAACCAUACAUAGAACAUGUGGCUUAGCUGAGAUUUGAUCCAUUUCCACUGGUCUUGUGUCUCAGUUGUUAUCGACUAAGAUAUGCUGCCACAUUAGCCUGGUCAUUGUCAUUGGUUAAUUCCAGGUGAGCCCUGACCAAACAAAUCUAGCAUCAAAGGUAUUUCAUACCAGCUAUGACUAUCCUGUUCUUCACUCUGGCAGUAUGAUUUGAGGGAUAUUUGGCUGUUAUUUUGUUUUAAAAAUAUAAGAUUGUUGAAGUCUCAAAGUAUCAAAU